rnacentral:tRNA from 1 species
CUGCGUAGCUCAGUAGGUAGAGCACUUCCUUGGUAAGGAAGAGGUCACCGGUUCAAAUCCGGUCGUAG